UCUCCGUUGGUGAACCAGCGGAGGGAUCAUUACCGAGUUUACAACUCCCAAACCCCUGUGAAUAUACCAUUUGUUGCCUCGGCGGUGCCUGCUUCGGCAGCCCGCCAGAGGACCCAAACCCUUGAUUUUAUACAGUAUCUUCUGAGUAAAUGAUUAAAUAAAUCAAAACUUUCAACAACGGAUCUCUUGGUUCUG
rnacentral:misc_RNA from 1 species